GCCCAGGGUAUGUUCCCGCGGUGAUGCUGCCCUCCCAGCUGGCCCGUGGAUGCCCCUGGGAACGUUACUGCCUCACGUUUGUGCCUCAGUUACCCAUUGAUGUAGUGAGGGGAACGAUACUUAUGCUCGUUGGUGGUAAGAAACAGCU
ensembl:snoRNA SNORA59A small nucleolar RNA, H/ACA box 59A